GAAUACACAGUAUAAGACUGGAGCAGGAACAGCUAGAGAAGUGGUGCUAUAGAACCUUGGCUCUAUGACUCAAAGUCUCUGUUCCCCUUACAGUUGUUUGCAAACCCCUGAAAACAGUUCAACAUUGAAAGUAUUGCUUCAGAAUAAUUACAUUUUAACUUUGCCUCCUUAUUUAGUGAUUUAUGAUUUCUUGAGAUAAGUAUAAAAAUCAGUCCAUGUUGUCUUAGGACGUGUAAAAAGUGGAAAAUAUGGCAAAUAAAAAGAAAAGAAAAUAAUUCAUAAUAGUCACAGAUGAGGUGAAAGGUGUGCUGGGAGUGAACCAAUCAAGAGCCGGGGAGCCCCCUGACCUCCACGUGACCUGUCCAUGUCUCCAGCGGGUUCUUCUGGGGUACUGCUGCCGGACUCAUGGGAGCUGUAAGCCCCACUAUUAUUGGGGAUGUUGAUACCCGACUGAGGCCUGGUUUCUGAUCCACCUCCACUACCCCCCACCGAUCUUGCCCUGGGGCCAACAUGCUGAGCCGCAGUCGAUGUGGCUCCCGAGGCCCAAUGAGCUGAGGCACCAUAUGCGUGGAAUCUCAUUGCCAUUGCUGCAGUUCUGCCAUUGCCGUUACUAGUGGAGGUGCUCGACGGCAGAUCCGAGCCCGAGUAAGCCCUGGUUCGACCAUUAGCAGCUGGGCUGCUCUGUUUUGCCCCCAUGUUUGCAGCCCUAUGCCAAUAUGUCCACAGAUUUCCUUUAUUUAUUUAAGACUGAUAACCGGUGUGGCAAUUGAGGUGGUUUUAUGGCAAUUAAAAUGAUUUUUAAAAUUACAAAAAUAGGUCCUUGCAAUAAGAUGGCAAAGAAAAACUACUUAUAGUUAUUUAAAUCCCAAUCAUCAUGUUAUGAAAGUACUAACAACAUAAAAGCGAACUAACAACAAUGUAAAAGAAGUUUAGUAGCGAAGACUGCCAGUGCACUCCAUGUGACAAAAAGAAAUUAAACUAAAUUAAAUAAAAAACUUUUUUAAAGUGCUCA